rnacentral:rRNA from 1 species
UUCCUACGGGGGGCAGCAGUGGGGAAUAUUGCACAAUGGGGGAAACCCUGAUGCAGCGACGCCGCGUGAGCGAAGAAGUAUUUCGGUAUGUAAAGCUCUAUCAGCAGGGAAGAAAAAUGACGGUACCUGAGUAAGAAGCACCGGCUAAAUAUGUGCCAGCAGCCGCGGUAAUACGUAGGGUGCAAGCGUUAUCCGGAUUUACUGGGUGUAAAGGGCGAGUAGACGGCGUUGCAAGUCAGAUGUGAAAGGCUAGGGCUCAACCUUAGGAGAGCAUCUGAAACUGUAAUGCUAGAGUGCAGGAGAGG